rnacentral:rRNA from 1 species
UACAGAGGGUGCGAGCGUUAAUCGGAAUUACUGGGCGUAAAGGGUGCGUAGGCGGUUAGUUAAGUCUGUCGUGAAAUCCCCGGGCUCAACCUGGGAAUGGCGAUGGAUACUGGCUAGCUAGAGUGUGUCAGAGGAUGGUGGAAUUCCCGGUGUAGAGGUGAAAUUCGUAGAUAUCGGGAGGAACACCAGUGGCGAAGGCGGCGACCUGGGCCAAUAUUGACGCUGAGGUGCGAAAGCGUGGGGAGCAAACAGG